AGCCAGAGGGGACAAGCCGGAUCAAGCUCCGCCACAGUCUGCUUCAGCUCUUCCCCAACUGGUGGUUCUGCCAGUCAAGAGAAGAGUUAGACUUGUAAUGAAUGUUGUCCUUCUGAGUGGGUCUGAGAACCCACGACCUCGUGAUGCCGCCUCUGCAGUGCCCCCGCCCGGCUCAGAGCAGCGCCCCCUUCAGAAGCCACUGUUUCAAUUUAGGAAGGUGUCCUUCCUCCAUUCCCCUUUGCCCGGUAGCCUUGGCUCCAAAACGAUGCUUGGCUGUUCCCAAAUGCAAAAUAUGCGUUUGGGGGACAGUGACUUGUGACAGUGCAGAUAUUUAAAUCUCGGGAGGCUGAGCCGCUGUAGCCGGAGACCAAAGGCUGGACACAUCAGGAAAGUCCUUUGUAGGAGCUGUGGAGACAGUCUGAGAGGGAUCAAGGGUCGUGUUGUGGUGGGUCUGGGAAGGACUCUCCUCUAAGCCUGCAGUCAGGGCACCUUCUCAGUGAGUGCUCGUGUGGAAAAGAAGGGUGGGAACUCUGCUGACUCCUCUCGCUGGACACAAAUCCUGUCGGAUCAUGGGCUAACCUUCACAUCCCAUUUGGCUGUAAUUGCUUCCCAGAAGGCCAUGACUCUCGAGCAGUCAGAGCAGGCAUGUGUGCGGUGCUUGGUGAACACAGGCUCACAGGGUUGCAGAAAACCCCGAAGGCCUUUUCAUGCGGUUUGGAGUAUCUCUUGACAUAAAGCAUUUGAGGUGUCCCGUUUUCAAGCACUGGGACAGUACGUCUGACGGGCGGUUUCAAUUGUCAGCUUGAUGUGAUUCAGAAACCCCUCGGCACUAAUGAGGCACAACUUGGGUGUGUUGAUGGAGGCGUCUCCGGAGGACUUGACUGAGGAGGAAAGACCAUCGGUGUGAAUACUGGUCAAGGAGCAAGGCAUCUGACCUCUGCUACCCCCUCUUUGCCUCCUGGCUGAGGACACCUUCUGGGACGCUGUGUCUACACCUAACUCCUCAGCACUAAGUGGCUGUCCCUUGAGUCUCUUUAGCUGUACACGGAUGUGAUUCUUGUGCUGUCACCUGCGUGGGCAGGCACCUUAGCUUCUGCUCACUCCAGAGUGAGGCACACUCCUGGUUUCAACCUCUUGUUCUCUCAUCUCUCGUGUGCCAGCAGCCUGCCUGCCCUUUCUGUGUUUACCUCUGCCUGGACUGGCUUCUCCAAGCUCUUCUAUGGAAGUUUAUGUUUCCUGGUUCGCACAGUUACAAUCCUCCGGGGUUCUGCGAGAGCCCUGCUGACGUGGUGGUGACACACACAGUGGGACCGUGUCUGUCUGGAUAGGUGUGCUUGAAGAAAUAGAAAAUCUGGACAACAUGGCAUCCAGGGGUGAAAGAGCUCCUUCCCCGGUCCAGGAGGAAGGAGACAGGGGCAGGAAACAGAAGGCACAUGCCUGUGGUGAGCAGGUAAGGCGACGAGAGAGAAGUGUGGCAGCUCUCGGGUGGGUGCUGGUCCCACAGAGGCAACAAACUCACCAGAGCAUCGGCCGGACUUGCUGACGGAUGGGACUGUCUCCUGUGCCUCCAUAGAGUCCCAAGAAGGACGAAGCACUCUUGAGAGGGAAUAAACACGUCUGCACAGAUAGCAGAAGAUUCAGUGCCCAGUGGGCAUGUCUGUGGAGAGAGCUAGAGUGGCCCUGUGAGGCUGAGGCGCUGGCCUAUGCAGGCAAACACCCGCCGAGGAAGGAUGUGUGAGGCGGGGGCCGAGCACUCCCACACACCCACGGCAUUCAGCUGAGUCACAGAAAGUAGGAAACUCUGUCUAGAUUCAGGUGAAGAGUCCUGAUGUGCCCCAGGCCAGUUGGGAAAUGCUAGGCUAUCUGUUUUUUGUGAGGGCCAGGCUCACCGUGACUCACAACAAAGGAACCUCGGUUUGCAGGGGUCAGGCAAAUUUUCAAGACCACCAAGUCAUUGCAGGAUUACAAGCACGCGCUCUCUACCUUUCCCUGUCUGAUUCCUGCUCGGACAGCGAUUCUCACCCUCCCUAAUGCUGUGACCCUUUAUCACAGCUCCUCAUACUGUGCUGACUCCACUCAUAAAAUUAUUUUUGUUGCUACUUCAUAACUGUAAUUUUGCAACUGUUAUGAACCAUAAUAUAAAUGUCUGUGUUUUCUGAUGGUCACAGGCGACCCUUGUGAAACCCUUGUGAAAACAUGAUUCAGUACCAGCAAGGUUGAGAACCACUAUCCUAGAGAAAAAAGCAAGAGUGACCCAAUCUUCCAUCUCGGCUUCACUGAGCUUAUGGGUAGGAAAGGCUGAGGGCUUCCCACUAGGCUAGUCCAGUCUUCCAUAGCAAUCUAGAUAACCACCUUCGUGUGUGCGUGUGCACGUGUGUGUGUGUGUGUGUGUGUGUGUGUGUGUGUGUGUGUGUGUGUUUAAAAACAUAACAACAGGACUGAGAGCCCCCAUUCACCAGGGCAGAGCUUCAGUGUGACUGAAGAGGAAGAGCAAAGGAAGGGAGACUGUUUUAUGUGGGAGAAAUUCCUGACCGAAGCACUGAGUCCUAAAAUAGUCUGCAGCAGAUGGGGUCAGCAGCAGGUUUCUGGGACCAGGACACAGAAGUAACCAUGACUUUAUGCAUGUCCUUGAAGCCUGGACUCGUGGGACAGUGAGUCAACACUGGGCUUGCUCCUGGUUCAAGCACAUGCUCCCUGAGCACCACAUCUUUAUUAGCAUCGUGAAGCUGCAAGCUCCCAAGCAUACUCGGGUUAAAGGGACAGCUCGUGCCCAGCCUCCACACAGCCUGCGCUGGGGACCGCGCUGAAGGAGACAAACUGUGAGUGGCAGGGAGCUGUCACCAAGCACCACUCUGGCAGCAGAAAAUGACUAUGAACUUGCAAAGUUGUGCUUUCUGUUUAAAAUGUAAGCCAAGCAUGCUCACGGGCACCGAGAGCCAGUGAGAGAUGGAAGAGAGCGUUACAGCAAGAAAAACUCAUCUUGGAGGGAGACGAAUGGCAGAAACAACAACUGCAAACUUGUUUGUUAGUUUGCAAGCUCGUUCCUGGGUCCCACCAUGAGGCAAGUCUCCUGUGGGGUAGAGUGCUCCCUGAGCCCUCCAAAGCCACACCCAGAGAAGUUUUUAAUGACUGAGUAGUAUGCCAUUGUGUAGAUGUACCACAAUUUCUGUAUCCAUUCCUUAGUUGAGGGACAUCUAGGUUGUUUCCAGUUUCUGGCUAUUACAAAUAAAGCAGCUACAAACAUGGCUGAACAAA